rnacentral:rRNA from 1 species
UACGUUCCCGGGCCUUGUACACACCGCCCGUCACACCAUGGGAGUUGGUUUUACCCGAAGGCGUUUCGCUAACCGCAAGGGGGCAGGCGACCACGGUAGGGUCAGCGACUGGGGUG